rnacentral:rRNA from 1 species
UGGGGAAUAUUGGACAAUGGAGGAAACUCUGAUCCAGCAAUUCUGUGUGUGUGAAGAAGGUUUUAGGACUGUAAAACACGUUUAGUAGGGAAGAAAAAAAUGACGGUACCUACAGAAGAAGCAACGGCUAAAUACGUGCCAGCAGCCGCGGUAAUACGUAUGUUGCGAGCGUUAUCCGGAAUUAUUGGGCUUAAAGGGCAUCUAGGCGGUAAGACAAGUUGAAGGUGAAAACCUGUGGCUCAACCAUAGGCUUGCCUACAAAACUGUUGAACUAGAGUACUGGAAAGGUGGGUGGAACUACACGAGUAGAGGUGAAAUUCGUAGAUAUGUGUAGGAAUGCCGAUGAUGAAGAUAACUCACUGGACAGAAACUUACGCUGAAGUGCGAAAGCUAGGGGAGCAAACAGG